rnacentral:tRNA from 1 species
AAUUGUAUGGUGUAAUGGUGAACACUCUGGACUUGGAAUCCAGAAUUAAAAAUAAAAACAUCUUGCAGUUU